rnacentral:rRNA from 1 species
CAGCAGCCACGGUAAUACGAAGGGUGCAAGCGUUAAUCGGAAUUACUGGGCGUAAAGCGUGCGUAGGUGGUGGUUUAAGUCCGUUGUGAAAGCCCUGGGCUCAACCUGGGAAUUGCAGUGGAUACUGGGUCACUAGAGUGUGGUAGAGGAUAGUGGAAUUUCCGGUGUAGCAGUGAAAUGCGUAGAGAUCGGAAGGAACAUCUGUGGCGAAGGCGACUAUCUGGGCCAACACUGACACUGAGGCACGAAAGCGUGGGGAGCAAACAGGAUUAGAUACCCCCGUAGUCCCUGUCUCUUAUAC